GGCGGUGUAGCUCAGCUGGCUAGAGCGUACGGCUCAUACCCGUGAGGUCGGCGGUUCGAUCCCCUCCGCCGCUACCA
rnacentral:tRNA from 1 species